UUGUGCUAUACACGCAAACUGUCAAAAACUUACCGAUCAGUUGUUGAUGCUGCGGGUUGUUCCGUGUUUCGCAUCGAAUUACGGAACGUUGUCCGAAGAGUUCUAUCGAUGGCAGUGUGGACAUUACCCAAGGAAUAGGUCACCGAGCAAUCCAGCCUUCGUUUGGAUGUCGAUUACAGCUACUCCCGGCGAAUCAUCGGCAUUUUCGAAAAUUCGUUUUCAAUCCUCCGGCCGGAAGCAACCGAAUCAGGAACAAUGAAAACCGCACCAGGGUGCUCACAGUGCAUUCCCCCUGAAACACCGGAACAUAAAAAAGCACGGAGCCAAACUUUUCCCUAUCCAGCUGGACCUCAGGCAGGAUACAGGCAAAGGGCUCGUAAAACGGCUGGGCCUGUUGCCACUAGCACCACUGCUGUCCUCAAAAAGGCCGAGCCAGGAUGUUUCUUUGGAAAAAAAAAUGACCCCUCAACUGGAUGAGGUUAGAAAUUACAAUUUUUUAUAAAUUGCCAUUUUAAUUACAAAAAAAAAUGAAUCUGAAAAGUUUUACCGAUUCAAUAGUGUUGAGUUUUC